UGUGUAGGCGGUUGGAUAAGUGUGGUGUGAAAUCUCCCGGCUUAACUGGGAGGGUGCGCUACAAACUGUCUGACUAGAGUGCGGGAUGGGAAAGUGGAAUUCCUGGUGUAGCGGUGAAAUGCGUAGAUAUCAGGAGGAACACCGGUGGUGUAGACGGCUUUCUGGACCGUAACUGACGCUGAAACACGAAAGCGUGGGUAGCAAACAGGGUUAGAUACCCUGGUAGUCCACGCCCUAAACGAUGCAUAUUUGGUGUGGGUCAUUCAUUUGAUCCGUGCCGGAGCUAACGCGUUAAAUAUGCCGCCUGGGGAGUACAGUCGCAAGGCUGAA
rnacentral:rRNA from 1 species